GAGAUUGUGGUUCAGUGGUUGAACAUCUGUGUGACAUGCAGAAUGUCCAGUGUUCAAUUCCAGGCAUUUCCA
rnacentral:tRNA from 1 species